UACGUAGGGUGCGAGCGUUGUCCGGAAUUAUUGGGCGUAACGCGCGCGCAGGCGGUUCCUUCAGUCUGCUGUGAAAGCCCCCGGCUCAACCGGGGAGGGUCAUUGGAAACUGGGGAACUUGAGUACUGAAGAGGAAAGCGGAAUUCCACGUGUAGCGGUGAAAUGCGUAGAGAUGUGGAGGAAUACCGGUGGCGAAGGCGGCCUCCUGGCUUAAUACUGACGCGGAGGUGCGAAAGCGUGGGGAUCAAACAGG
rnacentral:rRNA from 1 species